UACGGGGGGGGCAAGCGUUGUUCGGAAUUACUGGGCGUAAAGGGCGCGUAGGCGGCCAGCACAAGUCAGUUGUGAAAUCUCCGGGCUUAACUCGGAAAGGUCAACUGAUACUGUGCGGCUAGAGUGCGGAAGGGGCAACUGGAAUUCUCGGUGUAGCGGUGAAAUGCGUAGAUAUCGAGAGGAACACCUGCGGCGAAGGCGGGUUGCUGGGCCGACACUGACGCUGAUGCGCGAAAGCCAGGGGAGCGAACGGG
rnacentral:rRNA from 1 species